rnacentral:rRNA from 1 species
GGACCCGCACAAGCGGUGGAGCAUGUGGUUUAAUUCGAUGCAACGCGAAGAACCUUACCUGGUCUUGACAUCCUGAGAACUUUCUAGAAAUAGAUUGGUGCCUUCGGGAACUCAGUGACAGGUGCUGCAUGGCUGUCGUCAGCUCGUGUCGUGAGAUGUUGGGUUAAGUCCCGUAACGAGCGCAACCCCUAUCCUUAUUUGCCAGCACAUCAUGGUGGGAACUAUAAGGAGACUGCCGGUGAUAAACCGGAGGAAGGCGGGGACGACGUCAAGUCAUCAUGGCCCUUACGACCAGGGCUACACACGUGCUACAAUGGGAAGGACAAAGAGCCGCGAAGCCGCGAGGUGUAGCUAAUCUCAGAAACCUUUUCGUAGUCCGGAUUGGAGUCUGCAACUCGACUCCAUGAAGUCGGAAUCGCUAGUAAUCG